rnacentral:rRNA from 1 species
UACGGAGGGUGCAAGCGUUGCUCGGAAUUAUUGGGCGUAAAGGGUAGGUAGGUGGUCUCAUUUGUCUGGGGUGAAAGCCUUGAGCUUAACUCAAGAAGUGCCCCAGAAACGGUGAGACUAGAGUCUUGGAGAGGGUCGUGGAAUUCCCGGUGUAGCGGUGAAAUGCGUAGAGAUCGGGAGGAACACCAGAGGCGAAGGCGGCGACCUGGACAAGUACUGACACUCAACUACGAAAGCGUGGGGAGCAAACAGG